UCCCGGGUCGUCUAAUGGCAGGACUGAGGACUUUGGAUCCUCCAGUGGUGGUUCGAAUCCACCCCCGGGAA
rnacentral:tRNA from 1 species